GAUGAACGCUAGCGGCAGGCUUAAUACAUGCAAGUCGAGGGGCAGCAUGGUGUAGCAAUACACUGAUGGCGACCGGCAAACGGGUGCGGAACACGUACAGAACCUUCCUUCGAGCGGGGAAUAGCCCAGAGAAAUUUGGAUUAAUACCUCAUAGUACGAUAGAGUGGCAUCACUUUGUUGUUAAAGAUUUAUCACUUGAAGAUGGCUGUGCGGCUGAUUAGGUAGUUGGCGGGGUAACGGCCCACCAAGCCUGCGAUCAGUAACUGGUGUGAGAGCACGACCAGUCACACGGGCACUGAGACACGGGCCCGACUCCUACGGGAGGCAGCAGUAAGGAAUAUUGGUCAAUGGACGAAAGUCUGAACCAGCCAUGCCGCGUGGAGGAUGAAGGUCCUCUGGAUUGUAAACUUCUUUUAUAUGGGACGAAAAAAGGCCUUUCUAGGUCGUCUGACGGUACCAUGUGAAUAAGCACCGGCUAACUCCGUGCCAGCCGCCGCAGUAAAAC
rnacentral:rRNA from 1 species